rnacentral:rRNA from 1 species
GACGAACGCUGGCGGCGUGCUUAACACAUGCAAGUCGAACGGAAAGGCCCUGCUUUUGUGGGGUGCUCGAGUGGCGAACGGGUGAGUAACACGUGAGUAACCUGCCCUUGACUUUGGGAUAACUUCAGGAAACUGGGGCUAAUACCGGAUAGGAGCUCCUGCUGCAUGGUGGGGGUUGGAAAGUUUCGGCGGGUGGGGAUGGACUCGCGGCUUAUCAGCUUGUUGGUGGGGUAGUGGCUUACCAAGGCUUUGACGGGUAGCCGGCCUGAGAGGGUGACCGGCCACAUUGGGACUGGGAUACGGCCCAGACUCCUACGGGAGGCAGCAGGGGGGAUUAUUGCACAAUGGGCGGAAGCCUGAGGCAGCAACGCCGCGUGCGGAAUGACGGCCUUCGGGUGGUAAACCGCUUUCGCCUGUGACGAAGCGUUAGUGACGGUAAUGAGUAAAGAAGCACCGGCUAACUACGUG